GACGAACGCUGGCGGCGUGCUUAACACAUGCAAGUCGAACGAAGUGGCGAACGGGUGAGUAACGCGUAAUCAACCUGCCCUUCAGAGGGGGACAACAGUUGGAAACGACUGCUAAUACCGCAUACUGAAGGAGGGGAUUGCGUCUGAUUAGCUAGUUGGAGGGGUAACGGCCCACCAAGGCGAUGAUCAGUAGCCGGGCUGAGAGGAUGAACGGCCACAUUGGGACCGGGAAACGGCCCAGACUCCUACGGGAGGCAGCAGGUGGGAAUCUUCCGCAAUGGACGAAAGUCUGAAGCAGCGACGCCGCGGGGGGGAUGAAGGGCUUCGGGUUGUAAAGCUCUGUUAAUCGGGACGCGGUACCGGAAUAGAAAGCCACGGCUAACUACGUGCCAGCAGCCGCGGUAAUUC
rnacentral:rRNA from 1 species